rnacentral:rRNA from 1 species
CCAGAGAACUUUCCAGAGAUGGAUUGGUGCCUUUCGGGGAACUCUGAGACAGGUGCUGCAUGGCUGUCGUCAGCUCGUGUUGUGAAAUGUUGGGUUAAGUCCCGCAACGAGCGCAACCCUUAUCCUUUGUUGCCAGCGGUCCGGCCGGGAACUCAAAGGAGACUGCCAGUGAUAAACUGGAGGAAGGUGGGGAUGACGUCAAGUCAUCAUGGCCCUUACGAGUAGGGCUACACACGUGCUACAAUGGCGCAUACAAAGAGAAGCGACCUCGCGAGAGCAAGCGGACCUCAUAAAGUGCGUCGUAGUCCGGAUUGGAGUCUGCAACUCGACUCCAUGAAGUCGGAAUCGCUAGUAAUCGUAGAUCAGAAUGCUACGGUGAAUACGUUCCCGGGCCUUGUACACACCGCCCGUCACACCAUGGGAGUGGGUUGCAAAAGAAGUAGGUAGCUUAACCUUCGGGAGGGCGCUUACCACUUUGUGAUUCAUGACUGGGGUGAAGUCGUAACAAGGUAAGCGUAGUGCU